AUUGGGAGAAUAUCUGGUUUUCCAAAAUGAAUACAAGGGACUCUAGAAAAAUAAUGAAAAACAUUCAACAAUAACAGUCAGCUGAUGGUAACUGAAAAUAUAUUAUACACAGGAUGUGAAAUCUUCAUGUAUGGACGAUCAGCUUUUUGUAUACACAGAUUUAGCAGGUCUUUUCACUACUGUAUUCUGAUUGCAGAAGGAAACCAUUCAGUCUUUCACCA